GUGUCCAUCGCAUCUCGCAGAAUACACACUAGAUGAACUGUAUUCUCUAAUUUCCCCUAUCACUAGGUGACUACAUCCAGCGGCAUACGCAUUAAACGGAAUUACUCUGUUUUAACACGGACUCACCCUAAUUCAUCACCACACUGCCUAUUUUAACACAGACGACAGGACCAUGUACUGAGUGGACUCCUCAACACUCGGUGUACAGUGGUUUUCGCUACUACACUGACUCACUCAGCAGUCAAGACCAGCGGUUCUGUUUAUUUCAGUGGACUCCUCAACACUUUAAAUACAGAAUGUAGAGUGUACCGCCGGCCACUAGAGGGCAGCGUCUAAUUACCUGACCGGAUAUGUCACGCUGCCUUCCGUUAAUGUCAGCGUCCAUUUGAGUCUCGUCAUUCAUUCAUUCCACCUCGAGGCGAGAUGUUCAUCCACUCAUUCAUGGUGUCUUCAUCUCUGUCAUUAAACCCUUAAACUGA